GCAGACACAUUCCAGCCAAUCAGCAGCAUACCCUCCCUCCCAGACCCUCCCACCUCCUGGACAGCAUCCAUUUUGAAGCUGCAUUCUUAGUGAGCUGUCCAGGAGGUGGGAGGGUCUGGGAGGGAGGGUCUGCUGCUGAUUGGCUGGAAUGUGUCUG